rnacentral:rRNA from 1 species
UGAGGAAUAUUGCGCAAUGGGGGCAACCCUGACGCAGCAACGCCGCGUGAGUGAGGAAGGUUUUCGGACCGUAAAGCUCUGUCGAGCGGGAAGAAAUGUAUCAUGGCUAAUAUCCAUAGUACUUGACGGUACCGCUAGAGGAAGCACCGGCUAACUCCGUGCCAGCAGCCGCGGUAAUACGGGGGGUGCAAGCGUUGUUCGGAAUUAUUGGGCGUAAAGAGCGUGUAGGCGGCUGGAUAAGUCAGAUGUGAACUCCCUGGGCUUAACCCAGGA